UACGGAGGGUGCAAGCGUUGUCCGGAAUCACUGGGCGUAAAGGGCGCGUAGGCGGCUCGGUAAGUAGGGGGUGAAAUCCUGCGGCUCAACCGCAGGGCUGCCUUCUAAACUGUCGAGCUCGAGCACGGUAGAGGCAGAUGGAAUUCCCGGUGUAGCGGUGGAAUGCGUAGAGAUCGGGAAGAACAUCAGUGGCGAAGGCGGUCUGCUGGGCCGUUGUUGACGCUGAGGCGCGACAGCGUGGGGAGCAAACAGG
rnacentral:rRNA from 1 species